rnacentral:rRNA from 1 species
UACAGAGGGUGCGAGCGUUAAUCGGAAUUACUGGGCGUAAAGGGUGCGUAGGUGGUUUGAUAAGUUAAGUGUGAAAGCCCCGGGCUUAACCUGGGAAUUGCGCUUAAUACUGUUGAGCUAGAGUACUGUAGAGGAAAGUGGAAUUUCCGGUGUAGCGGUGAAAUGCGUAGAUAUCGGAAGGAACAUCAGUGGCGAAGGCGGCUUACUGGACCGAUACUGACGCUGAGGCGCGAAAGCGUGGGGAGCAAACAGG